UACGUAGGGUGCAAGCGUUAUCCGGAAUUAUUGGGCGUAAAGAGCUCGUAGGCGGUUUGUCACGUCUGCUGUGAAAACUGGAGGCUCAACCUCCAGCCUGCAGUGGGUACGGGCAGACUAGAGUGCGGUAGGGGAGAUUGGAAUUCCUGGUGUAGCGGUGGAAUGCGCAGAUAUCAGGAGGAACACCGGUGGCGAAGGCGGUUCUCUGGGCCAUUACUGACGCUGAGGAGCGAAAGCGUGGGGAGCGAACAGG
rnacentral:rRNA from 1 species